UUUUCUUAGUAGCGGCGAGCGAAAAGAAAUCAGUUCAGCACUAAGUCACUUUGUCUUUAUGGCAAAUGUGAGAUGCAGUGUAUGGUACGUCUUCAAUCUAGUAUGAGAAAUUAACGAUUUAAGUCCUUCUUAAAUGAGGCCAUUUACCCAUAGAGGGUGCCAGGCCCGUAUAACGUUAAUGAUUACUAGAAGGCGUUUCCGAAGAGUCGUGUUGCUUGAUAGUGCAGCACUAAGUUGGUGGUAAACUCCAUCUAAAACUAAAUAUAACCAUGAGACCGAUAGUAAACAAGUACCGUGAGGGAAAGUUGAAAAGAACUCUGAAUAGAGAGUUAAAUAGUACGUGAAACUGCUUAGAGGUUAAGCCCGAUGAACCUGAAUAUCCGUUAUGGGAAAUUCAUCAUUAGAAUUGUAAUAUCUUUAAAAAAAUAUUAUAAUGAUAGUGUGCAUUUUUCCCAUAUAAGGACAUUGUAAUCUAUUAACAUAUGACCAGUAAUAUUUAUCAAAAAAUCAUUAACUUUUAUGUUUAUUCAAAUUAUUAUAUGUGUCAAAGCAUAUUUUAACAUAGAAUAAUUGUUUUUGAUUUGAUAAAGUGUUGAUAGAUUUAUCAUAUAUACAGUGCUUUUAAUUUUUAUAUUAUAAAAAUUAUAUAAUAUCAUAAUUAUCAAUGAUUUUUAUGUUCAUUAUAUGCACUUGUAUGAUUAACAAUGCGAAAGAUUCAGGAUACCUUCGGGACCCGUCUUGAAACACGGACCAAGGAGUCUAACAUAUAUGCAAGUCAUUGGGAUUUUUUUCUAUAAACCUAAUGGCGUAAUUAACUUAACUUUGUUUAAUUUAUUAAAUGGGAUUAGUUUUUAUAUAAUUUAUUUAUAUUUGAACACAAUCCCGGGGCGUUCUAUAUAGUUAUGUAUAAUAAUAUUUAUAUUAUUU
rnacentral:rRNA from 1 species